UGCAUCGAUGAAGAACGCAGCGAAAUGCGAUAAGUAAUGCGAAUUGCAGAAUUCAGUGAGUCAUCGAAUCUUUGAACGCACAUUGCGCCCUGUGGUAUUCCGCAGGGCAUGCCUGUUCGAGCGUCAUUUCAACCCUCAAGCUCCGCUUGGUGUUGGGCCCUGCCCCCGCGGCCGGCCCCAAAGACAGUGGCGGCGCCGCUUGGCCCUAAGCGUAGUACAUCUCUCGCUCUAGGACCCGGCGGUGGCCUGCCAGAACCCCAAACUCAUGUGGUUGACCUCGGAUCAGGUAGGGAUACCCGCUGAACUUAAGCAUAUCAAUAAGCGGAGGAA
rnacentral:rRNA from 1 species